rnacentral:rRNA from 1 species
CCUACGGGCGGCUGCAGUGAGGAAUAUUGGUCAAUGGGCGCAAGCCUGAACCAGCCAAGUCGCGUGAGGGAUGACGGUCCUAUGGAUUGUAAACCUCUUUUGUCGGGGAGCAAGGCCCGCCACGUGUGGCGGGAAGGAGAGUACCCGAAGAAAAAGCAUCGGCUAACUCCGUGCCAGCAGCCGCGGUAAUACGGAGGAUGCGAGCGUUAUCCGGAUUUAUUGGGUUUAAAGGGAGCGUAGGUGGAUUGUUAAGUCAGUUGGGAAAGUUUGCGGCUCAACCGUAAAAUUGCAGUUGAAAAUGGCAGUCUUGAGUGCAGUAGAGGUAGGCGGAAUGCGUGGUGUAGCGGUGAAAUGCUUAGAUAUCACGAAGAACUCCGAUUGCGAAGGCAGUUCACUGGACUGCAACUGACACUGAGGCUCGAAAGUGUGGGUAUCGAACAGGAUUAGAUACCCUGGUAGUC